rnacentral:lncRNA from 1 species
AUAAGAGCCACAUCGUAACUUUGUGACUCGCUGCUGCCAGGGCCCCAAGGAAGUGCUCUUCCUGGGCACGAACCCAGGACCUUUUAGCAUGGCCCAGACAUGAGUGCCCUUUGAGGAAGUGAACAUGGUCUGGGACUGGCUGGGCAUUGGAGGGCCUGUGCUAACCCCUCCCCAAGAGCACUGUCUUAGCUGGGACUGGGGUGCUGGGACUGGCGUGCUCAGUGAGAGGGGCCAGGACAAAGCAUGGGACAAGAAAUUCAGAGUGACCUUCUCAUGAGAGGCUGAGGCUGGCUCAAAGAAUUCGGUGCGGCAGAGUGAAAGUCAGAAGACCUGGAUUUUCAUCCCAGCUUUGCGACUUAGUGGAAGCCUUGGAAGGUCUUGGCUGUAUGCAGGAUUCACAGCUUUGACGCAUGCGUGCCCUAGGCCCAGGCCUCAGCUCCUGUCCCUGUUGGUGGCCAUUACAUCCAAAGCUUCUUAGGUAUCAAGAUUGGCAGCUCUCCCCUUCCACCUCCCCUGCAUCCAGUGCAGCUGCCCCCACGAUCUCCUGCUUCUUUGGUUUCAGUUUGCUUUGCUUUCCUUUUGGCUGCAGGAUUUCCCUUUCUUUAGCAAAGCUCAGUUAGUGCAUUUGAAAGCCUGUUCAUUACCUUUUCUCUACCACUUCUAGGUGUUUUUAGAGCAGAAAGCUUUCUAUGUUUCCUAGUCUGCCACACUAUCAGAAAUGUAAGUCUCUGUGAUACAAUUUCUCUCUAUUAAACUAGCAAAAAUGUAGCAGGGGCAUGUGCAAGGGUGAGGGAAGUGCUCACAUUCUCCUGAUGGGAAUCUGAAUUGCUACUCAAUUCCUGACAGUAUUUUGCAAUAAAAAAUAUGAAAAAAUGAUGCAUGUCUUUUGUCCCAG